UUAGUUUGAUUCUAGCUCCAACAUUGACUCUGCCACCUUUAUGCAUGCAAAUCCUUAUACUCCCGCAACACAUAGACCUUAUAAUUUUAAGUAAAACUAAUUUUAUCUACUCCUUAAGAACAGCUCUAUAGCUAAACCUUCUAUAUUGCGCCAGCAGCAAUAAAUAUUGUGUCAAUCCUGAAAAGUAGUGCCAAAGCCUGGCACUAACAUAGGUAAAUCUUGUGCCAGCACCCGCGGCUAUACACGAUAUGUAAGUCAAUGACACCCGGAUACGUGAGCCCAUCUGUCUGAUAACCUAAAUUAAAAUUUUUGGGGUUCAAUCCAAACAAUUUAAACUUAACCAAAAAUAUCAUUAUUAACCCUCACGAAAGCGUGGAAAGAAACAAGGAUUAGAGACCCUUCUAUUCCUCACCUUAAACUACCUUACUAUCCAAGGGACUAAAAUCACAUGUUUCAAACCUAAAGAACUUGGCGGUGUUUUAAACAUCUUAGGGGAGCCUGUUAUUUAAUUUGAUAAUCCACACUAUUCUCCUUACCUGCUCUAGAAUAUUCAGUUUGUAUAUCGCCGUCUAAAGCUUACACUUAAAAGCAAAUCAAGUAAGCCUCCUAGCUCUCACUAUGAAGUCAGGUCAUCAUGCAGCCCAUGAGCAGGCAUAAAUGGGCUACAAUCAUCUCUUUGUCAGACUUAAUUUUAAAUUUCUUUAAGCCAAGUAGGACUUAACAGUAAUAAAAUAUUAGUAUUAUUUUAUGAAGUUGUCACUAUAAAACGCGCACAAAUCGCCCGUCACUCCCGCCGAAAGGGGGGAUAAGUCGUAACAUAGUAGACAUAGCGGAAGCUGUGCCUAGUAUAU
rnacentral:ncRNA from 1 species